rnacentral:rRNA from 1 species
UACGUAGGGUGCAAGCGUUGUCCGGAAUUAUUGGGCGUAAAGAGCUCGUAGGCGGUUCGUCGCGUCGGCUGUGAAAACCCGGAGCUCAACUCCGGGCCUGCAGUCGAUACGGGGCGGACUGGAGUUCGGCAAGGGAGACUGGAAUUCCUGGUGUAGCGGUGAAAUGCGCAGAUAUCAGGAGGAACACCGGUGGCGAAGGCGGGUCUCUGGGCAACAACUGACGCUGAGGAGCGAAAGCGUGGGGAGCGAACAGG